rnacentral:rRNA from 1 species
UGGGGAAUUUUGGACAAUGGGGGAAACCCUGAUCCAGCCAUCCCGCGUGUGCGAUGAAGGCCUUCGGGUUGUAAAGCACUUUUGGCAGGAAAGAAACGUCGCGGGUUAAUACCCCGCGAAACUGACGGUACCUGCAGAAUAAGCACCGGCUAACUACGUGCCAGCAGCCGCGGUAAUACGUAGGGUGCAAGCGUUAAUCGGAAUUACUGGGCGUAAAGCGUGCGCAGGCGGUUCGGAAAGAAAGAUGUGAAAUCCCAGAGCUUAACUUUGGGAACUGCAUUUUUAACUACCGGGCUAGAGUGUGUCAGAGGGAGGUGGAAUUCCGCGUGUAGCAGUGAAAUGCGUAGAUAUGCGGAGGAACACCGAUGGCGAAGGCAGCCUCCUGGGAUAACACUGACGCUCAUGCACGAAAGCGUGGGGAGCAAACAGGAUUAGAUACCCUGGUAGUCCACGCCCUAAACGAUGUCAACUAGCUGUUGGGGCCUUCGGCCUUGGUAGCGCAGCUAACGCGUGAAGUUGACCGCCUGGGGAGUACGGUC